rnacentral:rRNA from 1 species
UAGCUAGUAGGUGGGGUAACGGCUCACCUAGGCGACGAUCCCUAGCUGGUCUGAGAGGAUGACCAGCCACACUGGAACUGAGACACGGUCCAGACUCCUACGGGAGGCAGCAGUGGGGAAUAUUGCACAAUGGGCGCAAGCCUGAUGCAGCCAUGCCGCGUGUAUGAAGAAGGCCUUCGGGUUGUAAAGUACUUUCAGCGAGGAGAGAAGGUGGUAAGGUUAAUAACCUUAUCAAAGACGUACUCGCAGAAGAAG